GGGGGCGACACGGCUUCGACGGGUCUGGUGAACGUGGGGCUGCGUGCCGAGGUCCGGGGACCUCGCUAAUCCUCCCGGAAAACACUCAAGUGCCAAUAACGAUCUGGCUCUGGCCGCCUAGCCAUAGGUAGCCCGCUUCCCGGACUGCCCGCCCGAGGCGGACCGCGGAGGCGUCGACGAUUCGGGCUGGUUCACCGGUUCACGCCACCGGACCGGAGAACGAGACACUCGGGUGGCUAGCCCCGGCAGGUUGGUUCACCGGACCUGCCGAAGGUGAACACAAUCGGUGAUCUACGCACGUAGAGGUCUCGCAGGAUCCAUUCGCGGACGCGGGUUCGACUCCCGCCGCCUCCACUU
rnacentral:tmRNA from 1 species